AUUGAACGCUGGCGGCAGGCCUAACACAUGCAAGUCGAGCGAGCGGCGGACGGGUGAGUAAUGUCUGGGAAACUGCCUGAUGGAGGGGGAUAACUAAAGGAAACGGUAGCUAAUACCGCAUACCAUCAGAUGUGCCCAGAUGGGAUUAGCUAGUAGGUGGGGUAACGGCUCACCUAGGAGACGAUCCCUAGCUGGUCUGAGAGGAUGACAAGUCACACUGGAACUGAGACACGGUCCAGACUCCUACGGGAGGCAGCAGUGGGCAAUAUUGCACAAGUGGCGCAAGCCUGAUGCAGCCAGGCCGCGUGUGUGAAGAAGGCCGUCGGGUGGUAAAGCACUUUCAGCGUGGAGGCGUUACCCGCAGAAGAAGCACCGGCUAACUCCGGGCCAGCAGCCGCGGUAAUAC
rnacentral:rRNA from 1 species